rnacentral:rRNA from 1 species
AGAGUUUGAUCCUGGCUCAGGACAAACGCUGGCGGCGUGCUUAACACAUGCAAGUCUAAGGAGAAAGUCCCGCUUGCGGGACGAGUAAACUGGCGAACGGGUGAGUGACGCGUAGGCAACCUGCCUAGCAGACUGGGAUAACUUCUGGAAACGGAUGCUAAUACCGGAUGAUAUCAUAUCGUUUUUUCGAGAUGAUCAAAGAGGGCUUCGGCUCUUACUGUUAGAUGGGCCUGCGUCUGAUUAGCUUGAUGGUAAGGUAAUGGCUUACCAUAGCGACGAUCAGUAGCUGGUCUGAGAGGAUGAUCAGCCACACUGGGACUGAGAUACGGCCCAGACUCCUACGGGAGGCAGCAGUGGGGAAUUUUGCGCAAUGGGCGAAAGCCUGACGCAGCAACGCCGCGUGAUCGAAGAAGCUUUGCGGAGUGUAAAGAUCUGUCAUAGGGGAAGAAACGUAGCAAUUCUAACAAAGUUGUUACCUGACGGUACCCUAUAAGAAAGCCCCGGCUAACUUCGUGCCAGCAGCCGCGGUAAUACGAGGGGGGCAAGCGUUGUCCGGAUUUAUUGGGCGUAAAGAGCUCGUAGGCGGGUCAAUCAGUCGAUGCUGAAAUCCCACGACUUAAUCGUGGAACUGGUGUCGAUACUAUUGAUCUUGAAUGGGAGAGAGGCAAGCGGAAUUCCUGGUGUAGCGGUGAAAUGCGUAGAUAUCAGGAGGAACACCAAAGGCGAAGGCAGCUUGCUGGCUCCAUAUUGACGCUGAGGAGCGAAAGCGUGGGGAGCAAACAGGAUUAGAGACCCUGGUAGUCCACGCCGUAAACGAUGAGUACUUGGUGGUGGGGGAUUCGACCCCUUCACUGUCGGAGCUAACGCGUUAAGUACUCCGCCUGGGGACUACGAUCGCAAGAUUGAAACUCAAAGGAAUUGACGGGGACCCGCACAAGCGGUGGAUCAUGUGGUUUAAUUCGAUGCAACGCGAAGAACCUUACCUAGGCUUGACAUGUCAGUGAAAGUUCUGUGAAAGCAGAACCUUUCUUAAGCUUGCUUUUGAACACUGUCACAGGUGAUGCAUGGCUGUCGUCAGCUCGUGUCGUGAGAUGUUCGGUUAAGUCCGUUAACGAGCGCAACCCCUGCCUUUAGUUGCCAGCAUGUAAUGAUGGGGACUCUAAAGGGACUGCCCGGGAUAACCGGUAGGAAGGUGGGGUUGAUGUCAAGUCAGUAUGUCCCAUAUGCCUAGAGCUACACACGUGAUACAAUGGAGAGUACAGAGGGUUGCAAUACCGCGAGGUGGAGCCAAUCUCAAAAAAACUUUCCCAAGUUCAGAUUGCAGUCUGCAACUCGACUGCAUGAAGUAGGAAUCGCUAGUAAUCGCGGAUCAGCACGCCGCGGUGAAUACGUUCCCGGGUCUUGUACACACCGCCCGUCACGCCAUGGAAGUCGGUAGUACCCGAAGCCAGUGUCCAAACCCUCGGGAUGGAGCUGUCUAAGGUAAGAUCGGUAACUGGGGCGAAGUCGUAACAAGGUA